GCAGGGGAGCCCUAGCACAGGUGCUGCAUGGCCGUCGUCAGCUCGUGCCGUGAGGUGUUGGGUUAAGUCCCCGCAACGAGCGCAACCCCGCCGUUAGUGCCAGCGGUUCGGCCGGGCACUCUAACGGGACUGCCCGCGAAAGCGGGAGGAAGAGGGGACGACGUCUGGUCAGCAUGGCCCUUACGGCCUGGGCGACACACGUGCUACAAUGCCCACUACAAAGCGAUGCCACCCGGCAACGGGGAGCUAAUCGCAAAAAGGUGGGCCCAGUUCGGAUUGGGGUCUGCAACCCGACCCCAUGAAGCCGGAAUCGCUAGUAAUCGCGGAUCAGCCAUGCCGCGGUGAAUACGUUCCCGGGCCUU
rnacentral:rRNA from 1 species